GUCAGUAUGAAAUUGGAAUAAUAAAACUAUUAAUUUGUUUUUCAAAACGAAAAUGAUUGGAUAUUAAGUCAUAUAGCAAUCAAUAGAUUUAGCAGCUGACUACAAACAUGGGCACUCAAGUUUCGAAUCAUCUAGUUAAAGUUUUGAUACUAAAUAUUUUUUUGGUCAUUCAUAGUGCAAAGAGAUAUGGAGUAGAAGAUUUCACUAAACUAGAUAUUGACAAUCGACUUCCAAACGUUAUCUCGAUGAACUCUUCGAUCAAUCGCACAUCUAACAAUAUUACUGCUCUUUAUCUAAAUUACAAGUUUU